UACGUAGGUGACAAGCGUUGUCCGGAUUUACUGGGCGUAAAGAGCGCGCAGGCGGUCGUUCAAGUCGAGUGUGAAAGCCCCCGGCUCAACUGGGGAGGGUCAUUCGAUACUGAUCGACUCGAAGGCAGGAGAGGGUAGUGGAAUUCCCGGUGUAGUGGUGAAUGCGUAGAUAUCGGGAGGAACACCAGUGGCGAAGGCGACUACCUGGCCUGUUCUUGACGCUGAGGCGCGAAAGCUAGGGGAGCAAACGGGG
rnacentral:rRNA from 1 species